rnacentral:rRNA from 1 species
CCCUUAGAUGUUCUGGGCCGCACGCGUGCUACACUGAGUGGAUCAGCGGGUCAGGUUGCGCGAAAGCGUUUCCUAAUCUUUAAAUCCGCUCGUGAUGGGGAUUGACGGUUGCAAUUUUCUGUCAUGAACGAGGAAUACCUUGUAAGCGCGGGUCAUCAUCCCGCGCUGAAUACGUCCCUGCCCUUUGUACACACCGCCCGUCGCUCCUACCGAUUGAGUGGUCCGGUGAGGCUUUGGGAUCUGAGCGGAAAGAGCAUUUCGCUGUUUCUGCUCGGAAAACUCAGUCGAACCUUAUCAUUUAGAGGAAGGAGAAGUCGUAACA